UAUGACAUAUUUAUGUAGCGUUGACCAGUCACCUACAAGUCAUUCAGAUUGCAAGAAAGAGCAGCUCUCUCUCUCUUGGCUUCAUAUCCAUGGCCUCUAAAAUACUCUACAUCCCAUUGACCAGUCAGUUUUUUCCAAAAUUAUGAAAUGGAGCAAUGCUACAGCGUCUUCUUGGGUCCUUCGACUCCUUCUCUCGUCCUCCUCAGCUGACGUGGAAUCUUAAAAAUCUGCAUCAAAAUAGGACAUUAAACAGCUUUUAUUAAAAAAAAAAAAAAAAUUAAAAUCAAACUAAAAGUCUGGAAUACACUUCCCGUCCCUCCAAAAUUUUCAGCUCCUCUCUCUCUCUCUGUGCAACUUCCGUACGCUCGCAGGAAACCGCCGCUUAACAACUGUCUCUCUCCCUCUCGCUCGCUCUCCGGUCUUCCACCAGCGGCGUUGUUUCUGUCUUGCCGUUUGUUCUCUCUCGGCGGUCGGCCACCUUCCACCGGGCCAUCCUUUUCCGGCGUUCUGUCUCCGGCAGAUUUAGCGGCCAUCCUCCACCGUCAGACACCACAUUUUUCUGUUACUCAUUGUGGCUACCUUUUGUUCUUCUAAAUGGACAUUUCAAGCUCACACUUGGAGAAUGAGGGUGAAAUUGAAUCUUUGCGGAAACAUAUUUCAAGUGACGAUGCAUCAACCGAUGAAGACAACCCUGAAAUUGGUUAGCUUCGAAUUAUUUUUCUUUGACCCACCAAUUAUAGCUUUGAACUUGGUAUUAAUUUUUUGGGAUAAUUACACUUUACCCCCUUGUUUUAUCCACGGGGUGGCGAUUUACCCCCCAAUGUACCAAAAUUGUUAGAUGACCCUCCCGAACUUAUCAACAUGUGUCAAGUUUAACCAUCCGUCCACUUACUCGUCAGUAUGGACGGAAAAUCAGUCACAUGCGUUACACGUGACCGUUUAAUGCAUUUUUCCUUCCCAAAAUACCCCCGUCCCAAACAGCCUUCAUACCAGUACAUGCAUUAAAAAAAAAAAAAAAAGGAAAAAAACCCAUUCAACCCGUCUGUCCAGCUGCUCCAACACGGUCCAGUUGCUCCUCGAAGUUGCUCGUGCCGCACGGGAACACGGCGCGGUGACUCACCAGUGCAACUAUCGCUGAAAGAGGAAUUCUCCGGCUUGUUGUAUCUUUGUGAAUGAAUGGUGAGAAAGAACAAAUUUGUUGAGAUUCUUCCGAUUAAUGUUGGUUGUUUAGGUGCUUGAACUUAUUGCAAGACAAAGCACGCCCGUGGUCAUUUAGGUAGCUACACGAUUGAUAGCCUCGUAAGUAUCAUGAUAUAGGUAUUUAUCAUUUACUUGAAUUAGGUGGUUAUUUUAUCAGAAUUUUAACAUUGCGGGUCGGACGUGUAAAAUCUGUAAUAGCAAAUGGAGUUAAGGAGAUAUGGUUGAGCAAUGAAGACAUAAGAGCUUAUGGUAAAUAAUUGUGAUCUUUCCAUCAUUAUGUGUGUUACUGGGUUAAAGUACUUGCCGAUGUAAAGUUCUGUUUCUGCAGGUUCUUUUCAUGAAGAUAAUAUUGUAGUUUUUGGAAGUACCUUUUUAUUAUCUUAGAUAAAGUAGUUUUAUAUAUAUAUAAACCCAACCCACAGAAUAUUAGACAUGGACACGCAAAUAUCUAAGUAAUUAGUAAAGUGACAGAUUGUUCAUAUGCAUGACUCUCUCUUCAAAUCCAUGAUGGUCAGGCAAGCAGGUCAACACAGAAAGUGGCCAGAUGGCGAGAACCAAACGAUAAUAUAGGAUUGGCUCUGUCAUGCUAUGUUUUUUGAACAUGAAACAGAGGACGUGGAGAAUUUUUUUUUUUAUUUUUUAUUUAUUUUUUUAUUUAUGUCAAGGUAAGUUUUCCUACAACAGCAUAUUCAUCAAGAGCUACUGCACUGCAAUCUUUGUGGUUGCCCAGACCAGACCGUGCCAAACCUCCAUCAACUAACCACAUGUCAUGAUCACCAAGCUCUCAAUACGGGAAGUAUCACUAACCUAUGUUCUUUUUGAAGUAUCUACUGCAGAGAUUGGUACAUUGGUGCACUCACUGCACCAACGCCGCACCCAGAACACUUGCUGGCCACGAUCGGGAUAGACCGCCUUUGGAUUGCGAUAGAUUGCCCAACGGCUCUUCCUUCCUGUUUUAGUGCACUGUCGGGUGUGUCUUUCAUUCGGUGUUGAAUAUCUAAAGGAAAAAGUGUGAUCCCUAAGUGCGUGUUUCUCGGUUCUUCAGGUCUGGAAGAUCACGUGUCUUCUGCUGCAUGAUAUGGAAAGAAAACAUGUCUUGAUUUGGUGCACGGCUAUAGGUUAGAGAAUAACGGGUGUCGAUGCUGCAUGGAUUUGGAAAUGACGUGCAUAUCGGCCCUGCCCUUUAUGGAAAGUGGCAUGAGCCUUGAUUCUCACCCAUGGAUUCGGUGCUGCAAGUCUUUGUUUUUUUGGAGAGAAAUUGUAAGAGUUCGGUCCUGCAGAAAUUGAAAGGAACAUGCACGUCGUGGAAGAAUUGAAUUUACAGAUGGAGAUAUCGUGGAAGCCAUGCAUGAGAGAUAAAGGAUCCAUGAAUUGAGAAAUGAAGGAAGAGCCGACGUACUUGUUCUGCGAGAAUGGCCGUGUAAACCUAGACUCGAAGCUUAGUCCCACGCUGGAGUCGAAGCUCUUGAGCUAGACAGUUAGGGCUAGGAUGGUCUUGGUGUCGAUGGUACUUUGACAAGGAGAAAUGCAUUAGUUUACUACAUUGGACGCAUGUGCGGGUAUAAUAUUUGAUGGGGAUGGGGUAUUUUGGAAAGGAAAAAUGUAUUAAAUAGUCACGUGCAACGCACAUGACCGACUUUCCGUCCAAACAGACGGGUGAGUGGAUAGAAGGUUAAACUUGCCACACGUUGACAAGUUUGGGAGGGUCAUCUAACAAUUUUGGUACAUUGGGGGUAAGUUGCCAUCUCGUGGAUAAAACAGGGGGGUAAAGUGUAAUUAUACCUAAUUUUUUUAUGUGAUUUAGAGUUGGAUGAUAAAGAAGACAAUGGCCCACUAUAUGAAAUAAUAGAUGGGGAUGGUAAAGUUGAAGAACCUAAGAGCGGAAGUACGUCUAGUUCGUUGGAAGAAGUUAUAUCAUGGCCAUGUUAAAUGGCAUUCUCUUUACUAUUUGUUCUAGGAAGACAUUGGUCCCAGUUGGAUAUUUUGUUGUGGUACACAAUUAUUUCGGAUGCUGAAUGUAUAUAUAUUUGUACAGUUAAGGUGUGGAAUUUAUAUUUGAUGAGCAAUUUAAUAUAUA